GAUGAACGCUGGCGGCGUGCCUAAUACAUGCAAGUAGAACGCUGAAGCAGUAGCUUUCUCUUCUGGAUGAGUUGCGAACGGGUGAGUAACGCGUAGGUAACCUGCCUGGUAGUGGGGGAUAACUACUGGAAACGAUAGCUAAUACCGCAUGACAACAGCUAUUGCAUGAUAACUGUUGAAAAGGGGCAACUGCUCCACUACCAGACGGACCUGCGUUGUAUUAGCUAGUUGGUGAGGUUAAGCCACACCAAGGCGACGAUACAUAGCCGACCUGAGAGGGGGGUCGGCCACCCUGGGACGGAGACAGGGCCCAGACUGCUACGGGAAGCAGCAGUAGGGAAUCUUGGGCCAUGGGCGGAAGUCUGACCGAGCAAGGCCGCGUGAGUGAAGAAGGUUUUCGGAUCGUAAAGCUCUGUUGUAAGGGAAGAAAGAGUGUGAGAGUGGAAAGUUCACAGUGUGACGGUAACUUAUCAGAAAGGGACGGCUAACUACGUG
rnacentral:rRNA from 1 species